AAUCAACGCUGGCGGCGUGCCUCAGACAUGCAAGUCGAACGCGAAAGGCUCCUUCGGGAGCCCGGUAGAGUGGCGCACGGGUGAGUAACACGUGGGUAAUUUACCUCGGGUGGGGAAGUAACAGCCGGAACGGCUGCUAAUACCGCAUAAUGCAGCGGCACCACAUGGUGACAGUUGUUAAAGUGGGGGAUCGCAAGACCUCACGCCUGAAGAGAAGCCCGCGGCGGAUUAGCAGUUGGCGGGGUAAUGGCCCACCAAGGCGUCGAUCCGUAGCCGGCCUGAGAGGGCGGUCGGCCACACUGACACUGAAUAACGGGUCAGACUCCUACGGGAGGCAGCAGUCGGGAAUUUGGCAAUGGGCGCAAGCCUGACCCAGCAACGCCGCGUGAAGGAU
rnacentral:rRNA from 1 species